UUUGGUACAGGGGGACACUGAGCAGGAACAGUUCCUAAGAUCAAGGGGCUGUGGGAGUUUUCUCAUGACCAAGGGAGUAAAACAUUCCACAGAAAAAGAAAGAAAAUAAUUUUACCUGUGCAGAAAUACAAAGAGAUGAAAUGAGGUGUGCCUUACCUAAAGCUGGGUGAGGUUAUAAAUGCUUCUGCCUGAAGAAAAAGAUCUUAACAAAACCAGGAACUGAGGACUGUGUAGCCUGGGUGGCCAUAGGGAGCAGUGCCUUAUUCCGCUCUGGUCUGUCCUCAUGGCCUUCCCCGCCAUCCAAGUCACUGUGGAAACUGAGAGCUUCCUUUCGGAGUGAUGAGAGAUACUGUCAACAUCAACUGUGAAGCUGUGGCCCCACCCUGUUUACAACUCUGGGAGACAAUCUGCUCCCUGCUUGGCGGUACCCCAGUGUCCCACUCCAGCUUUUCCUCACAGGCAGCAUGUUGAAAGGAAACGUGUGUGCUUCAUGCUUUAUAACUUUAAUCCUGAUGUUUAGCAUUAAAAAUUAUAUUUAUGUAUCACCCAUGGCAGAAUUAUUUAAAUAAUUAAGAGAGUGGCAACAGCCAUGCCUUUCACUUUGUUACAAAAUAGAAAUCUUUUGUUCAUAGGCGCUAAAGCUAUCCUUAAUGAGAAGUACAAGCCACUUACAUUCCCUUGUUCAUGAAGCAGCAUUGAGUCUUCGGUCUAAGCGCUCUGGGUAUCUAGCUUCAGAAAUUUUUCAUGAAUCAUACCAGGUCAUAAAAAUAGGGAAGAUCAAAAGACAAUAUUUGAAGGUUGACUCAUGAAUCCUAAAUUUUGUUAUUUCUCUUAUGUAUACUGAUUUUGAUAACAAGAAAAAGAAUAAAUGUAAUAUUUUGAUUUCAAAA